rnacentral:lncRNA from 1 species
AACAUUCUGCUUGCUAGCAAUAAUUUAGGGUUGCUUCAUGAGACAAAGAAAAUAUUGUCUGCUAAUUUUGAGAUGAAAGAUUUUGGAGAAGUUUCCUAUGUAUUUGGCAUUGAAAUACAUCGUGGUAGAAAUCAUGGCUUUAUUGGGACUUUCUCAGAAAGCUUAUAUACGACGUGUUCUAGAAAUGUUUAAUAUGCAGAAUUGUGCACCUGGUGAUGUAUCUAUCAUAAAAGGAGAUAGUUUAAUAAAACUCAUUGUCCAAGGAAUGAGUUGGAAAGGGAGCCUAUGAAGAUGAUCCCAUAUGCUAGUGCUGUGGGGAGCUUGAUGUAUGCUUAAGUUUGCACUAGAUCGGAUACAGCCUACGUAGAAAGUGUCCUUAGCAGAUUUUAGUCUAAUUCAUGACAAGAGCAUUGGAAAGCAGUUAAGAAAGUUAUGAGAUAUUUGAAGAAAACUGAAAGUCAUAUGCUUAUAUUCCAACGUACAAAUCAUCUUGAGAUGGUAGGAUAUUCAGAUUCUGAUUUUGCUAGAUGUCAAGAUGAUUUGAAAUCAACCUCAGGUUACAUUUUUACAUUAGCUGGUGGUGCCAUUUCUUGGAAAAGUGCUAAACAGACUCUAGUGGCAUCUUCUACUAUGCAAGCUGAAUUUGUGGCAUGUUAUGGGCUUACAGUCCAAGCCGUUUGGUUAAGAAAUUUCAUCUCUGGCUUGAAAGUUAUUGAUUCCAUCUCAAGACCGAUCACCAUCUACUGUGAUAACAGUGCAGCAGUAUUCUUUUCAAAGAAUAAUAAAAGUUCUGGUAGAUCAAAACAUAUUGACAUCAAAUAUUUGGUUGUUAGAGACAGAGUCAAAAAAGGGCAGACGAAAAUAGAGCAUAUCAAUACAGAGGCGAUAGUUGCAGAUCCCUUGACUAAGGGACUCGCUCCAAAAGUCUUUAAGACACAUGUUACUAAUAUGGGUAUUGUGGAAACAUUUGAUAUUUUUGGUUAGUGGGAGUUAUUUAUGUAAAGAACUACGUUUUGGGCUUGAUCCCUUGCGGGGUAGUAGGCAACCCAUAUGUUUUCGGGUACAGUCCCUUCUGAUAAUAAAAUAAUUUUUCCCCUAUCCAUGAACUAUUUUUAAGCAUGCAUUUGACUUAUGUCUUUUUAUAUUAUUGACAUCUUGAAAUAUGACGUAUAAAGACAUAAGAUGAGUCUCUUUUAGAGACAUGUGGCUUCAUUUUGAUUCGAAGCAUUAUGAGGACCGAUAUGAGUUAGCACAGUUUUUUAUCACAUUUGAUGCUAAGUUCAUACCACAUACUACCACAUUGGUUGGAGGAUGGGGAUCCAUGUCGAUAAGGA